CAUGCAGUCGAGCGAACUGAUUAGAAGCUUGCUUCUAUGACGUUAGCGGCGGACGGGUGAGUAACACGUGGGCAACCUGCCUGUAAGACUGGGAUAACUUCGGGAAACCGAAGCUAAUACCGGAUAGGAUCUUCUCCUUCAUGGGAGAUGAUUGAAAGAUGGUUUCGGCUAUCACUUACAGAUGGGCCCGCGGUGCAUUAGCUAGUUGGUGAGGUAACGGCUCACCAAGGCAACGAUGCAUAGCCGACCUGAGAGGGUGAUCGGCCACACUGGGACUGAGACACGGCCCAGACUCCUACGGGAGGCAGCAGUAGGGAAUCUUCCGCAAUGGACGAAAGUCUGACGGAGCAACGCCGCGUGAGUGAUGAAGGCUUUCGGGUCGUAAAACUCUGUUGUUAGGGAAGAACAAGUACGAGAGUAACUGCUCGUACCUUGACGGUACCUAACCAGAAAGCCACGGCUAACUACGUGCCAGCAGCCGCGGUAAUACGUAGGUGGCAAGCGUUAUCCGGAAUUAUUGGGCGUAAAGCGCGCGCAGGCGGUUUCUUAAGUCUGAUGUGAAAGCCCACGGCUCAACCGUGGAGGGUCAUUGGAAACUGGGGAACUUGAGUGCAGAAGAGAAAAGCGGAAUUCCACGUGUAGCGGUGAAAUGCGUAGAGAUGUGGAGGAACACCAGUGGCGAAGGCGGCUUUUUGGUCUGUAACUGACGCUGAGGCGCGAAAGCGUGGGGAGCAAACAGGAUUAGAUAC
rnacentral:rRNA from 2 species